rnacentral:rRNA from 1 species
CGCGUAGGCGGUCUUUUAAGUCAGGUGUGAAAGCCCGGGGCUCAACCCCGGAAGUGCACUUGAAACUAAGAGACUUGAGUAUGGGAGAGGGAAGUGGAAUUCCUGGUGUAGCGGUGAAAUGCGUAGAUAUCAGGAGGAACACCGGUGGCGAAGGCGACUUCCUGGACCAAUACUGACGCUGAGGCGCGAAGGCGUGGGUAGCGAACAGGAUUAGAUACCCUGGUAGUCC